UGCUAGGAUUACAGGUGUGAGCCACCGCGCCCGGCCCUCCAUACCUAUCUUCUUAGUCCCUCUGGCACUCUUAGACGACAGUGACUUCUUUCUAAAGCCAACCCUGCCUUUCGUGUUUUGAGUCUAUGCUUCCCGACUGCAAAUAAGUUUAACUGUAAUAAUUAUAUAUUAAAUAGUUAUAAUAGGCCUGGCUUGGUGUCCAGAAAAGCCUGGGCCGCGAAAGGGAUUCCGUAAAUAUCCGUGGGAUGUGAAACGUCCUCACAAACUGCAAAUCCCAGCAGGCGGAGAGACAGAAGUACAGGCCCAUUGAUUUGCCUCCAACUGCCACCCCGACCCCACCCCGCACACGCGCGUAGGGCUCUCCGGGGACGCCCCAGAGCCCGCGCACGCGGCCGUGAGCCCGCCCGGAGCGGGUGGAUCCCUCGGCCCUCAGCGGCCACCCCACUGGUCCCCGACAGAAAGGCCCGCCGGAUGGCAGCUAAUCCGCGCGCGGCGAGCCGCCCUCACCCCUCGAGCCCCGCCCCCGGCCGCGGAGGUCCCGCGCUAACGAGGGGUCCUCCCGGCGUCCUAGAGAGGCCCCGCGACAGACGCACUUCCGCUCGCGCCGCAGGGGCUCUUACCUCUCGGAUGCCGGGCUGGCAGGCCUGCUAGCGCAUUUGGGGACUUUUUGGAGGAGACGAGUACCAACAGAGUUGGGUCCAUCAGAAGACACCUGCCUGUGAAGCGUAUUAUAAACAAGUAAAAACAAUGGGUGUUCUUGUCCGCGGUACUGCAGGAGAGUGGAGUGGCCGUCGAUUCCCAGGAUUAGGAGACAAGGACGUGGGAAAGACCCCUGGGGGAUUGGAAAGGGGUCCGAGCUCGGGUCCCGGGGCUCCUGAAAUGGACUUCCACUGUCCGGUCGGUCACUGCCCUCAAGCCACCUUCCUCCUUCCCUUCUGUGCAUCGUGCUGGCUCAGCGCUUCGGGGAGAGGGACAGGUGGGCGCGACGUUGUGUGGCCGCCCUGCGUUUGGGACCCUUUCCUGCUCCGCAGCGCUGACGCCGCUGGGCUGUUGAGGCGCCCAGCGCAGGUGUUGAGCGCUUGCCCGCCGCGCCCAGCGCAGGUGCUUCACGUUUCAGGCGGCCAGCGAGUGGAUGACGACUGUGUCCACCUGCCCCGCUGAGGCUGCUCCCUUUCUCAUGUGAUCGCCAGAAUCGUCCCCGCCCCUUCCCACUGGGCUUUUACUGAGGUCCAGCUGACUUCCAUUUGCAGGGGUUCACCCAGACAAGUCUUUUUGACAUAGCUUUAUUCCCAAAGCUGAGAGGUGCGGUGAAGAGGAAAUUAUUGCGGAAGUGACUCGGUCUUUUUUUUUUUUUUUUAAAGGUAAAAUGUUUUAUUUGGGGAACAGUGGUUAGAGGAUGAAUUUCAGGAAGUUCAUGAAUUCUCUGAAACUGCAUGUACAUUUUUCCGGGCAGAGCUUUCCUGGUUCUCAAAGAAGAUUCAUGACUUAACAGCAUUAAGAACCUGGCAUCCGCCAGGAGUCACAACACUUGUAAAAAUUGAAUGGUAAACAAGCAGCAGCACCCGCCGCCACCGUGAAAUUUCAGUAAUGUGAUUUUUUGUUAAAGGCCAUACAAAUGGUCCGGAAUAUCUUAAGUUGUUAAUCAUGAAGAAAAACGUGUAUACCAACACACACACAAUAGAUAACACUUGUCCUGUUAUUUAAGAUGAAGGAUCUCACCAAGCAAAGCAGAAGAUCAAGGACACAGAAUGUGCACUGUAUGCAAAACCAGAAGCUAACAAGCAUGUUGGGGUACUUUGUAUUUGCACAAAUCAUCAUUACCAGUCAUGACUGUGGUCAGAUGCUGACUCCCAAGUAAGUCGAAGAGGGAGGCAAACAGAAGGGAAAGAAAAAUCUUCCUGAGAUAUCUGGGUAAGACGUGGAAGAGGACAGGGAAUUGAGGUUAAGGGUUUGCGUAUAGUGUACCUAACAAGAUGCAGGUGAUUUCAUUCACCAGCAAUCUUUGGCGGCGGGGGGGGCAGGCGGGUAGGGAAUAUAUAUCUAUAUAUGGUAGAUUUUUCUGGGAAUGAGACGUGAGACUUCCCCCUUAAGAACAUGCUCAGGUACAACAGGUCACUAAAUUGCCUCCUAAUGUUCCAUUGAAUUAAUGGUGAACUAGAGGACGUUUUGCUGAGCAGUGAUGGGAUUGAGCUAGGGCCAGGGGAAGUGAGAGGGUGGACUGGAUAUCUAGUAGGCAAAAAGAAGUUGAGGUGACUGAGCCUUGAGAGGGAAGGACAAAGAGAAAAACCUGCACUGGUGGUUUGGCCAAUAAGGUACUUCUGAGAACAAAACGUCUAAUAGGAUGCACAGUGUGAGCUCUUCUCCUUUGCUUACACACUAUCUUCAGUGAAGUCCAGAUUGCUCAGGGGUGUUUGUGUGAAUAGAUUGUUCAGGAGAAGCCUGAAGGGGUGCCGAAUUCUCUGUCAGGGCUGACGAGGUAAAUGUGGCAAUGAAACAUGCCAACGGAAUCAGGCAUGGAAGGGAUCGUGAGAUCCAGGUUUCCUGUGGGAAAGAGAUGGUCUGGGCACAAUUCAGUCUGCGCUCCAGCAAUGAGAACAGGAGGAAGAGGGCGCACUGCACUUGUCAUCAACCAAAGGGAAGAAGUAAAUCAAACACCUUCCCUUACCAAGAGUGUGACUGUUCCAGGCAGAGGUAUCUGGAAGGACGUGAAAACUCUGCAGUCAUCUAUUUGUACAACCCUUUUCUCAAGCCAAGUAGAUAAACCUGGGAAGACACCUAUAUUGGAGUACAGAAUAAACCCAUUUGGUGAAUUAUUUUGGCUGUGAUCAGUUCUGUUACCAAGGACAUGAUUUAAAUUCAUUAUAUUCAAAUCUACGUAGAAAUCAGUAAUAGAAAAUGUGCAAAGGAGCUCAGAUAAGGCGGGAAUGAAUGUGGCUGUCUGCAGCACAGCACAGUGGUUAAGACCAUCAACCAGGUUUGGAGUCUUGGCUCUGGCUCUUCCUAGCUGUGUAAUCAUGGGUCAAUUACUUAACACUGCCCCUUCUGCCCCCUCCUUAUCUUUUAAAUUGGGGUAAGAAUACCCACAUCAUUGAUGGUUGCACCACUAUAUAAAUUAAAAAUCAUUCAACUGAACACUUAAAACAGGUGCAUUUUAUAGUAUGUAAAUUAUACCUUCAUAAAGCUUUAAAAAAA